UACGUAGGGACCAAGCGUUGUCCGGAAUCAUUGGGCGUAAAGAGCGUGUAGGCGGCCUGUUAAGUCUUGCGUGAAAGCCCGGGGCUCAACCCCGGAACGGCAUCCGAUACGGGGCGGCUCGAGACCGAGAGAGGUGAGUGGAAUUCCUGGUGUAGCGGUGGAAUGCGCAGAUAUCAGGAGGAACACCAAUAGCGAAGGCAGCUCGCUGGGACGGUACUGACGCUGAGGCGCGAAAGCGUGGGGAGCGAACAGG
rnacentral:rRNA from 1 species